rnacentral:sRNA from 1 species
UGGCUUUAAGAUCAUGUAAAAAUCCUAACCGAAAAAUGAACAUAACACACAGACCUACUUUUUACAAGACACUGGUUGAUAUUAUGAAGACUAUUGUAUAACUUAUCCUGGUGAAGAAGAAGAGGCAUCGGCAAAGGUAUACCUGUUGAUGAACAAUAUUUCUGGCUAAACUAUAUAUCAAUUGGUCGGCUAUAUCAUUACAAUGCCCCCAAUGGAAGUAGACUCAAAUUUUAAAACUAUACAGAGACAUUUGAAUUCUAGCACUUAUCGAUAUGUGUGAACCACUGUAGUUAUCGAUAAGAUGAAAUAAACUUGA